AGAGUUUGAUCAUGGCUCAGAACGAACGCUGGCGGCAUGCCUAACACAUGCAAGUCGAACGAGACCUUCGGGGUCUAGUGGCGCACGGGUGCGUAACGCGUGGGAAUCUGCCCUUGGGUUCGGAAUAACAGCGAGAAAUUGCUGCUAAUACCGGAUGAUGACGUAAGUCCAAAGAUUUAUCGCCCAAGGAUGAGCCCGCGUAGGAUUAGCUAGUUGGUGAGGUAAAGGCUCACCAAGGCGACGAUCCUUAGCUGGUCUGAGAGGAUGAUCAGCCACACUGGGACUGAGACACGGCCCAGACUCCUACGGGAGGCAGCAGUGGGGAAUAUUGGACAAUGGGCGAAAGCCUGAUCCAGCAAUGCCGCGUGAGUGAUGAAGGCCUUAGGGUUGUAAAGCUCUUUUACCCGGGAUGAUAAUGACAGUACCGGGAGAAUAAGCUCCGGCUAACUCCGUG
rnacentral:rRNA from 1 species